AACGAACGCUGGCGGCAUGCCUAACACAUGCAAGUCGAACGAGACCUUCGGGUCUAGUGGCGCACGGGUGCGUAACGCGUGGGAACCUGCCCUUAGGUUCGGAAUAACUCCCCGAAAGGUGUGCUAAUACCGGAUAAUGUCUUCGGACCAAAGAUUUAUCGCCUUUGGAUGGGCCCGCGUUGGAUUAGCUAGUUGGUAGGGUAAAAGCCUACCAAGGCGAGGAUCCAUAGCUGGUCUGAGAGGAUGAUCAGCCACACUGGGACUGAGACACGGCCCAGACUCCUACGGGAGGCAGCAGUGGGGAAUAUUGGACAAUGGGCGAAAGCCUGAUCCAGCAAUGCCGGGUGAGUGAUGAAGGCCUUAGGGUUGUAAAGCUCUUUUACACGGGAUGAUAAUGACAGUAACGGGAGAAUAAGCUCCGGCUAACUACGUG
rnacentral:rRNA from 1 species